rnacentral:tRNA from 1 species
GGCCACCGUGGGCCGGCCCGUGGGCGCGCCUUCCUCGGGCGAGGGCGUGAGCCGCCGGCCGGUCUCGACGGGCGGCGGCGUC